UGAAACCAUUCUAAUAAUUAUCGCUUGAAAU
rnacentral:piRNA from 1 species